rnacentral:rRNA from 1 species
CCUACGGGCGGCAGCAGUAGGGAAUCUUCCACAAUGGGCGAAAGCCUGAUGGAGCAACGCCGCGUGGGUGAAGAAGGUCUUCGGAUCGUAAAAUCCUGUCGUUAGAGAAGAAAGUGCGUGAGAGUAACUGCUCACGUUUCGACGGUAUCUAACCAGAAAGCCACGGCUAACUACGUGCCAGCAGCCGCGGUAAUACGUAGGUUGCAAGCGUUAUCCGGAUUUAUUGGGCGUAAAGGGAACGCAGGCGGUCUGUUAAGUCUGAUGUGAAAGCCUUGGGCUUAACCGGAGUAGUGCAUUGGAAACUGGGAGACUUGAGUGCAGUAGAGGAGAGUAGAACUCCAUGUGUAGCGGUGAAAUGCGUAGAGAUAUGGAGGAACACCAGUGGCGAAAGCGACUCUCUGGUCGGUGACUGACGCUGAGGUGCGAAAGCGUGGGUAGCAAACAGGAUUAGAUACCCCAGUAGUC